CGGUAUUUAUGAAAGAAAAAUAAACAACCAGGGGUCAAAAUACAAUUUAAAAAAGUUACACCACGUCAGCUGCUCGGUCAGCAGCCCCGACCAACUAGGACGUGCUAGGUGGCAGAGACGCUGACGCGGGAGGCCAUGCGGGGGGAGCCACGUGGGCGAUCCGUGUGCCUGCGAUCAAACGGCUGAGAUCCGUUCCUGCGGGCACGGACAGCCCAUAUCGAAAACGCGCACGGACGACCCAGAUUGCAUCGCGCACGAACUACCCAGAUUGAAUCGCGC
rnacentral:lncRNA from 1 species